GACGAACGCUGGCGGCGUGCUUAACACAUGCGAGUCGAACGAAGAGCGACGGAAGCUUGCUUCUCUCAAUCUUAGUGGCGAACGGGUGAGUAACGCGUAAUCAACCUGCCCUUCAGAGGGGGACAACAGUUGGAAACGACUGCUAAUACCGCAUACGAUCUAACCUCGGCAUCGAGGAUAGAUGAAAGGUGGCCUCUACAUGUAAGCUAUCACUGAAGGAGGGGAUUGCGUCUGAUUAGCUAGUUGGAGGGGUAACGGCCCACCAAGGCGAUGAUCAGUAGCCGGUCUGAGAGGAUGAACGGCCACAUUGGGACUGAGACACGGCCCAGACUCCUACGGGAGGCAGCAGUGGGGAAUCUUCCGCAAUGGACGAAAGUCUGACGGAGCAACGCCGCGUGAGUGAUGACGGCCUUCGGGUUGUAAAGCUCUGUUAAUCGGGACGAAAGGCCUUCUUGCGAAUAGUGAGAAGGAUUGACGGUACCGGAAUAGAAAGCCACGGCUAACUACGUG
rnacentral:rRNA from 1 species